rnacentral:rRNA from 1 species
UACGGGGGGGGCAAGCGUUGGUCGGAAUUACUGGGCGUAAAGCGCACGUAGGCGGCUUUGGAAGUUAGAGGUGAAAGCCUGGAGCUCAACUCCAGAACUGCCUUUGAUACUGCAUGGCUUGAAUCCAGGAGAGGUGAGUGGAACUGCGAGUGUAGAGGUGAAAUUCGUAGAUAUUCGCAAGAACACCAGUGGCGAAGGCGGCUCACUGGCCCAUAACUGACGCUGAGGCACGAAAGCGUGGGGAGCAAACAGG